rnacentral:rRNA from 1 species
UACGUAGGGGGCAAGCGUUGUCCGGAUUCAUUGGGCGUAAAGAGCUUGUAGGCGGUUUGUCGCGUCUGCUGUGAAAAUCCGGGGCUCAACCCCGGACUUGCAGUGGGUACGGGCAGACUAGAGUGUGGAAGGGGAGACUGGAAUUCCUGGUGUAGCGGUGAAAUGCGCAGAUAUCAGGAGGAACACCGAUGGCGAAGGCAGGUCUCUGGGCCACUACUGACGCUGAGAAGCGAAAGCAUGGGGGGCGAACAGG